UCCUGCACUAAGGUCAUGCAUCCAGCAUGAAUUCCUUCUAAAUUAGGCAAAGCUGGACUGCACUUCCCAUGUCAGGUGGCCCACAAGGGACAAAUUGUUAGCACCCAAGGAAGUCUGCAGCCUGUGGGACUGAAAGUCAUCCAAGUCUGUGCCAAAAACACGAAGGAGGAGCCACUAGAAAUGGAAGAGUCUCAACAGGAAAAGAUCUGAAAUCAAAGAGCUCUAGUAGUCUGGAGCCUAAAGCCUGAGCAUUACUAAGUGUUCAGCUCACAUUCAACUUUUCAGUGCAAUAUGAGAGAUGACAACACAAUAAAGUAAUGUAUGAGAGCAACAGCACUAAAACCAUGGGUUUCUGGUGUGAAGGGAGCGGUGACCCUAAUUUAAAUCGGGUCACUUCCUGGCUCUAGAUAGGUCCGAAAACACAGGUGUCAUUGUAGAAAGGAGCCUGGAAACAUUAUUGUUCACGUGUAAUUCUGGAGGUUAAACUGGGAUUAUGUGUUUUAUGUCCUCCUCAGCUCAGUUAUGCAGGAAGGAGAACAGCUACUUGUGAACUUUGAGACAUUACUGCUCCCACAAGCCAAACACAGUGUGACAAACACUUCAGUACCAUAGAAAAUGAUGCAAUUAGGGACAACUACUACACAGACUUUUUUUUAACUUUGUGAAACAUAUAAAUUCAAAUGUGUGAUAUUUAGUGAUAAAUUCUUAAAAUGCAUACAUCUUUUUCACCUACACUUUUUGUUUAAUUCUUUUAUGUUUGGUUGGUUGGUUUGGGGGGUUUGUUUUUGGUUUUAGAGACCUUCUUUGAGGAUAUGGAACCUUCUCUUACCAUUUUACUACUAAAGAUUCUCCUUUAGUAUCUGUUGUAGUACAAAAGCAAAGGCUGGAAAGUCUUAUUACAGCAUUUACAGAUUCAGAAUCCCCAUAAAACAAAUCCAGUCCUGGUCCAAAAGCACUAUAAGUUGAGUGCAUGAUAACAACAAUCUAAAUAUAAACAAGUUUCCAUAAUAAUUGCUAAUGCUUUCUAAAUUAGGUUUACCCAAGUAUAUACUUUCUCGUAGGCAGUUUUGAACUGAACUGUCUCACAGGAGUGUGUCCACCAGGAAACAGAAUAGCUCAGAAGGUGUGAAUGAUUCAGAUGCAUCAUCAGGAACAACAAGAUCCCAAUGCAUUUAGUCAUAUUUCACUGCCUCCUACAUAAUUAAUUUAAUUUAUUUGCUAUGCUCUCAAUCCACUUCUCCAUUAUUACGAAAAGAACCGAGGCUUGAAAAUCAUCUAAGUACCCAUGGAUAUGGAAAUACAUUGUGACAGGUGACUGUGUGAAAAGACAUGUCUGGGGUGAGAUUUAUCUCAGCUUGCUGUGUCCACACACUUUUUUAUAGCAGCUAUCCUGUCUCUUUAGUUGGUGAGUCUCUCCUCAGAGAGGAAAAAAUGCCCUGUGGCAUUGAUUGUAUAUUGGGUUUGGAUCCAUUAAGUCCCUCUAAUUCCCGUUGGCUAAGCAUGCUGGAUAUAAGUCACACUAGGCACAGAGCCUUUGGGAAAAUUCAGUACAUUGGAGUCCAGGUCCAAAGGCUUUAAAUUAUUAGAUUCAUUCUUAGGGACCAGAAACUGUGUGACUCAGGUAAACAAACCUCUCUGUAUUCCUGGAAUUGAAGGCAAUCAAAUUUCAUUUUCUUUUAGAGAGUUUAUUUGCUAUUAGUGACACAGAUUGAGUUCAUUAUCGAAUAUUCCCGUGGGACAACCAGGACUGGGCCUUUGUAUUUGCAGCACAUGGUGCUCAACGCAGCAAAUUAACCUGGGAGAGCUUUAUUCUGCAUUGCUCCAAGCUACAUUGCAACUGGAAGUCUUAGGGGGAUUUGAGGGUCCUGAAUGAAAGAUUAUUUCUUAGUUCAAAAUAGGUGUUGCUGACUAUCUGAAUGUGUUAUUGCCAAAAGAAUAAUGAUUCUCCUCUCUUUUUGCAUUUUUUUAAUGACUAAAAUAAAUUACUUUGACGUACAC